UUGGAGCCUUCCAGCCUGGACAGCGCACGGGCAGCAUCAUGCUGGUGCAUAGAGCAGCAAGGAGGUUCAGCACGGGGGCCUUUUGGAAAGGGAAAUUUAAAGAAACCAUCUGCUCAUAUGAGAGCCAGCAAGGUUGCAUCUGUUCGUAUCACUAGCAUCGGCAUAUGACCUGUGGCUGACCCACAAGUUUACAAGGAAGAUGAGAGUAAGCAGGCAGGAGAGAAAGAGAGAGAGAAUUCUUUCAAUUAUUGGAAUCGGCUCCCUGCAAGUGGACAAAAAAGGUCAUGGGGAACUGAGGAUGCUGAUAGUUAUUAGACCAAUAAGAACAGAAGGCGACAAAGAAGUUUAUCCAAUCCCCGUGGAGAGAGACAUGUGAGGAGAUUGAGGUCCAUGUGACAAAUCUCAGAAAGGUUAGAAAGGAGAGGGCAAAUGUGUUGCUUGGAGUCUCUGCGGUAGCUCCUACACUAUAUUUCGUAAACACAAAUCUUGUAGUCAUUUGGAAUAAAGGUCUUUAG